UGUGCUAAUACCGCAUAUGGUCUUCGGAUUAAAGGAUUUAUCCGCUUUGGGAGUGGCCCGCGUACGAUUAGAUUGUUGGUGAGGUAAACGGCUCACCAAGUCGACGAUCGUUAACUGGUCUGAGAGGAUGAUCAGUCAGACUGGAACUGAGACACGGUCCAGACUCCUACGGGAGGCAGCAGUAAGGAAUCUUCCACAAUGGGCGAAAGCCUGAUGGAGCAACGCCGCGUGCAGGAUGAAGGCCCUCGGGUCGUAAACUGCUUUUAUGAGUGAAGAAUAUGACGGUAACUCAUGAAUAAGCACCGGCUAACUACGUG
rnacentral:rRNA from 1 species